rnacentral:rRNA from 1 species
UACGUAGGGGGCAAGCGUUGUCCGGAUUUAUUGGGCGUAAAGCGUGCGCAGGCGGUUUCUUAAGUCAGAUGUGAAAGCCCCGGGCUUAACCUGGGAACUGCGUUUGAAACUGAGGGACUCGAGUGUGGCAGAGGGGGGUGGAAUUCCGCGUGUAGCAGUGAAAUGCGUAGAGAUGCGGAGGAACACCGAUGGCGAAGGCAGCCCCCUGGGCUGACACUGACGCUCAGGCACGAAAGCGUGGGGAGCAAACAGG